rnacentral:lncRNA from 1 species
GACGAGUAUAUCGAUUUGAGAAGGGGAAACACCAGAUUUUUGGAAAAGCUUAUGGAGACAGUCAAGGAAAAACUCUUCAACUUCAAUGAUACUAUCAACGAGAGAAGGGUGACUUUCUUUACCGGAGAAGACGACACGGGGACCGUAGGUUUGCUCGCCGAUACCGGAGUUGACAACGGCUUUGAGAAGGAAUUUGAAUUCUUCAAGUCCGAGAUUUUUGGUACGUUUCAUAAGGUCUCGACAGAGCUGAGUGCCAAGCAUUCUAUCCUCGCUCGGUUUGAAACAUUGAUAGUCUAAAAUGUAGCAUUGUUGGUCUCUUUUUGCAUCAAAAUGUUUCCAUAAUUUUAAUGCUAAAUAGAGUAAGGGGAUUGCAUAGAGUAAGAAGAGUGGCUCCAUGAGAGAGAUGAAGAGAUGGAAAAAGAAAAGAACAAAACAGAGAGAGAUUCCCAGAAAUGAAGCAAUGUGUUGAAGAAAAGAGAGGGCUCAGCUCUUAUAGCAAAGGGGAGCAGUUGGGAGACUUAACGCGUUUAUGAAUGCAAAUUGCCAAAUAUAUAUUUACAAUUUUCUAUUCUCAUUUUCAUUUCUUUUAUCCUUUUAAAAGUGUUAUUUAAUUAUUUUGGAUGGGGUGUAAAUUAUUUGCAUUCAAAUGUUUGAAAAUAUAGAUUUAGGAUUUUUCUAGAAUGAAAUAAAAAUAAAUUCAUAUAUUAUUAGGUAUGGGAUGUUUUGACUUUACUUAUAUGCAUGUGGUAAUUGGUAUAAUUAAGUGUAUUAAUUAAAUAAGUUUGUUGCAAAAUAUGUUUUAAUGAUAAAGAAAAUCACCCUAUUAUAUUCUUAAAGUUAUCUUGAUAUUCGUGAAUUGUGCUAUGAAAUAUAUGUUUUUAUAUUCAAUAUUUUCAUAUUUUUAUAGAAAUACCUAACAACAUAUAUUUAAAGUGUUGUGUAUAAAUUGUUAACGUGCAUUUUUAAAACGCUAUUUAUGAAUAGUAGAUUGCAUCAAAUUUCAUGUUAUAUAAUUAUAGUAAAUAUAUAUAGCUAAAGUUAUCAACUUAUUUAUAAAAUAUUUCAAAAAAAAAUUUGUCUGCUACAUUUAAAAUUAUUUUUGAACCAUUUUGCUAUUUGAAUUAAUUUAAAUCCAUGUGUUUUAAAGAAAUAUUUUUCACAUACACAAAUUUUAUUUUGGUAACAUUCCCAAACAACACACUCAAGUUUUCUUUUUAAAAUAUGCACCUAUAUUGAUUAUAUAUAAUAUAUAUGUUGAAUUAAUUCUUAAAACUUUGAGCUUGGUUUUCAUUUUUGGUUUCUAAAUUUUAAAAGUUUAGUUUUAAAACAAGGAAAUACAUGCUUUCAAUUUACUGCAACAACAUGUUAAAUUUGUAAUUUGAAUUCUAAUACUUAAUAAAGUAAGAGAGCUAAAUAAUAGAAAAAUAGAAAUUUAAGAUUCUUCAUGUACGAAGCCAUGAUGGUGUAUUUGUAGCUAUAGUUAGACCUCCUCAUCUUGAAGUUGUCGAGUUACUUAUUGGACUUUGGUUGUAUAAGGGUUGCACCAUCUUGUUUGUCAUUUAGCUAAGGUUCGACUUCAACUUAAUCUCAGUCGGAGCAAGGUCAAGCACAUUGGUUUGGGCCAAGGGCCAAGACAUCUCUUAGAUUGUCGUUUCUACCUCUGACCUUGAUAUUCAUGCUAUCUUUUCAAUUUUGUUGUUCAAUAUUCUUGUCAAAUAUAGCUAUCUUUUGAUCUCAAAUCACUCGUGAUAAAAAUUACUUUCUUUUUUCCACUUGUGUUGUCAGUUUUGUGAUACAGAUUAAACAAGUGUAUAAGUCUAUCUAGUUGUAACAACCUAAAAAUUUAAAGUAAUUUUGUUGCUUAAUUAUCUUGAAUAAUUUAUGACUAUAUUAUUAUGAGUGUUAUAUUCAUUGAUAUUGAAAGUCCAAAAAAAUUAUUUGGAGUAAUAUGUUGGAUUAAUUAAAUAUAUAUGUGUGUAAUUUAUAUUUAAUUAAAGAUUUUGAAAUUUGGGGAAGAUGGUUAUUAAGUAUAAUUAACACUUGAAAAAUUGAUGAUUAUAUUUCGGAAUAUAAUUAUUGAAAAAAAUUAUAGUAUCCCAAAUAAUUAUAAAAUCUUUAUUAAUUAUCUUCAAUUAUUUGGGUAUUGUUGGGAGGGUUGGAGCUAAAGUAGAAUUAUUGCUUUAGGAUAAUUCAUGUUUGAAAUUUUAAGAUAACUUAUUUAUUGAAAAAGAUUUUGGUUAAUUAAGAAAAUUGAGAAUUUGAAUUAAUUUGUGAUCUGGAAGGGAAAGUUAGUUUUUGUGGAAUUAGAAUUAAUUAAGUAUAUAUAUAGGGGUGUGUAUAUUUAAUGAAAUAUCAUUCUAAUCGUUAAAAAAUAAGAUAAUUAAUAAAAAGAGAUUGUAGACUUGAUUGAAUGGAAAAAAUGAUGGAUUUAAUUAGGAGAUGGGAGAAAAGUUUAGAUAAAUGUAUAUUUUUAUUAUUAUUAUUAUUAUUAUUAGUUAUAAAUGUCUAAUGGUUGGUGCAUUUAAGAUUUAAGAAUUGGUUGAGAAAAGAGAAUGAAAAUAAAAAAAAAUGUGUUCAGAAAGGAAAAUGAAAUAACAACCAUGAUGAUGAUAAUAAUAAUAAUAAUUACUAUUAUUUGGAUUUAUAAAUAAGUUUGGAGUUCGUAAAUUGAAAAGAAAAUGAAAAUGAAAAGGUUUUUCAUCUUCUUUCUUAGCAUAACUCCAGUAAUCGUCCUUAUUCGAUCGGAGUUGCCUGUCGUUGCCCUCAAUCAUCACUGCUCACCGAUUGCCCUCAAUCAUCACUGUUCACCGAUUUUACUUUGUUGAUCCAUGUAAUUUUGAAACGUUUUCUUUCAAAACUUGCGUAUUAGAGUAUAGAGUACGAAAUUGAAUCUCCGACCUCAAAAUUGAUAAUACAAAUCUGAGUUAUUAUCCUCGCUCGAAACAAUAAAUGGUGUGAAAUUAAAAAAAAAAAAAGAAAAUUGGUAGAUAGUUAAAUUUUUCUCAAUUCUUUUUAUAUACGUAAACCCCCUCCCUACACCUUAACUUAUCAAAAUCUUAAAUGACUGUCCACGGGAGACAAGCCAUUACUCCAUAGAAAAAUAGGUAAAUCUCUUCAACACAAAUCAAAAAAUAAAAGGAAACCCAAUAGUAAUAAAUGCAUGAUUUAUAUAUAUAAACAUAAAAAAAAUUCUCAACCCAUAUAAAUUUUGAAAACAAAUAGAAGUAAACUUUCCAACACUUGAAUCCAAUAAAAAGAAAACCUAUAUUAACAUGAUCAACUAAACUUCCAACAUCAAAAUAAAUUUUUUUUAAGAAAUCUCUCAACAACUAAUAACAUUUUUCCUUCAAUAAAAAAUCAAAUCAAACUCUCUUUUUUUCUUUUCCAUUUUUUCCAUUUUUUCUUAUUUGUUGAGAUUCAAAGUGACUUGAAAGUAGUUGCAUCUUCCUUUUGAAUCCAUCCAAAGGUUUCCAUGAAAGGGUUAGCCAAAGACAAUGGUGGAUAGCUAUUAAUGCAAUCUUCCCAUACAUUACCCUUUUUUCCACCCAACUCUCUCACCACUUCCCACAAACAACUAUUGCAUUUAAACCCUGCUCCAAAGUUAAUCAUCAAUACUUUAUCUCCUUUCUUUAGCCUUUUUUUGGCUUCCAUAUACCCCAAAACAUACCACAGGCUACUUGCCGACGUGUUUCCGAAUCGAUGAAGGGUCAUUCUGGCUGGCUCGAGAUCAUGUUCGGUUAGGUUUAGACCCUUUCCAACCCCAUCUAUCACUGCUUUUCCUCCUGUGUGUAUGCAGAAAUGCUCUGCUCCGGUUUUGAAGUUUGCCAUUGGCUUUGGCCAUCGGGGCUUCGAGGAGCUAGCUAGGGAGAUUUUGUGUAUUAUUGUUAGGAUUGUUAGUCGGAAUAUCUCUGUUAUUGGGAGGAUUUUUGGGGCGAUCUCUCUUAGAUUGUCUGUGAAUGCUCUUAUUGCUGCCCUUGGGAGAUUCUUUCCUAGAUGGAUACCUUAUACAAAGGAAGAAGAACUUUUAUUAUAAAUAAUCUGCAAACAAAGAAUAAAAAUUUAAUAAAUUUAGUUCACCAACUACUAUGUAUUAAUAUUAACUACAUUCACGAACCAGAGGCAAAUUUAACAAUAGAAUAUAAAACCUAAAAAUAUGUAUGCAAGUAAGAUUCUAAGUGAAAAGAGUUUUUAUAUAUCACCUCUCUUGAACCCUAAAAAAUGGAUUAAAAUAAAUGGUCUAAAUAAAAAUAGAAUAAUAAUUAUCGUAUAACUGUAGGUUGGUCAUAUUCAUGGUGAAAGAUAACAUACUUAAGGCAUUUUGACAAAGUUAAGUGAAAGAAAAAAAAUUAUUUAGUAAUAAAGUUCUGCAAUAAUAUGAAUAUGAGAUCUUAGUAAUGGUUGGAAGAUAGAUAAUUUAACGAUCACAUGCCCCCUUUAACUAUUAAAUACAGUCUUAUAAAAACAACUAUUUAAUUAAAUCCAUAAAAUAACUCUAUUUUUUUACAACGAUUGGAUAUAGAUUUAAUCAACGUAUUACUAAUAAUCUCGUACAAUGUAAAUAUUCGAUUUACUUUUAUAAUUUCUCUUUGUCACAUCAUGAUGCUUUCAUCAAAGUAAUAAAUAAAUAACGUCUUUAGAUAAUUAAUUAGAAAUACUUUAUUUCAAAAAAAAUUUGGAAAAGAUGGUGAAUUUAAUUUUGAGAAACAAUUAUGAAAGGGAGUGGUCAUAUAUAUGUACUAUUUGUUUACCUAAGUGGCCUUGGUCAUCUUCUUUCUGAUAACAACAAUCAUAGGACUCAUCUUGAGCUCCAUGGUGAGUUCUGACUAGACACUUGAGCUUCAACAUAGCUUUGUUUUUCAAACUUCUUUUAUUAGUCAAGAGUAUGGCAGCGCCACCGGUUCGAAAUAGACAAUUCGCCAAAAUCAUGGAUCGGUCGUUACCGGAGUACCAGUUUGGAGUGAGUGACUCGGACGUAACAACAAUGCCAUAUGAGUUCAUGUGUGAUUUAAACAUUCUCCUCAUAACAUCCAUAGAAAUAAGACUAGCACUGCAUCCCAUUCCACUUAAAUUGAACACUUUUAUGUCUUCCCUCAUUUUAAACCUAUAUAUUGAAAUCAAUAUAUUUUAACAUCACAAGUUUUAGAAAAUGACAUUAAAGAAGUUCGAAACUCAAAUCUCAUAUAUCUUCGAGAGAAAAUGACAUCUAAAAAGUUCAAAUAUAUAGAAUAUUCGUAGAUCCAAAAAUUUAAGUUGAUGAAGUUACACUAAAUCUUACUUGUUAAUAAGCAUGGAGGCAAGAGAAGGGGAAGUGGAGAACAUGGAGAUGUUGACCACGAGUAUAUCAAUUUGAGAUGGGGAAAUGCCAGAUUUUUCGAAGAGCUUAUGGAGACAGUCAAGAAAAAACUCUUCAACUUCAACGAUACUAUCAACGAGAGAAGGGUGACUUUCUUUACCGGAGAAGAUGACAUUGGGACCGUAGGUUUGCUCGCCGAUACCGGAGUUGACAACGGCUUUGAGAAGAAAUUUGAAUUCUUCAAGUCCAAGAACUUUGGUACGUUUCAUUACGUCUCGACAGAGCUGAGUGCCAAGCAUUCGAUCAUCGCUCGGUUUAUAGCAUUGGUAGUCCA